UGCUAGUAGCAACGGUCAUUACACACAGUUGCUAUGUAGCCCAGCGUUGCUAGGGAUGCUGCCCUGCAACACUGCAGCUGUCAAACAACUUCCGAGGGAAAAAACAAACAGAAGUGGCUGAUUUUAACGGAUGCCGCUGAAGAAAAAGAAUACCCACGGACUUUCUCUGCCAAAAACAAAAGAAGACGGAUUUGAAUACACACUCGGCAGUCAUGCUUAAUGACAUUUUACGCGAGUUUUAUGCCUCGGUUCAGUCCACUAAGCCUGGGUUUCAGGAGGCGGGAAUGUGUCUGCAGAUGAGUGGGAGGCUGGAGGAAAAAAACACCUUUCUUCCUUGUCAGUGACCUUCAAGGUGACGAACAGGUGUGGAGAUGCACAAAUGGAGAGGACUGACCCUGAUGAUGACCAUGCCGAAUCAGAUGACAGCUGCAGCAGCCACAGCAGCUGCAGCAGAAACAGGAACCUCCCAGUUCACCCUACUUUUGCUGCACCGAAAGGUCCUCAAGACAUUUCUCAGACCAGAGCUGCAGGCCCUGCCCAACCAGUCCUGAGGAUCUUCCUCGGCACUCAGCAUGGACAGGGUAGGACGAGAGCCUUCACCGCCUUCUGGU